UACGAAGGGGGCGAGCGUUGUUCGGAUUUACUGGGCGUAAAGGGCGCGUAGGCGGCCUUGUCAGUCAGGCGUGAAAGCCCCGGGCUCAACCUGGGAACGGCGCUUGGGACGGCGAGGCUGGAGUUCGGGAGAGGAGACUGGAAUUCCCGGUGUAGCAGUGAAAUGCGUAGAUAUCGGGAGGAAUACCGAUGGCGAAGGCAGGUCUCUGGGCUAUAACUGACGCUCAUGCACGAAAGCGUGGGGAGCAAACAGG
rnacentral:rRNA from 1 species